GCGCGAAAACUUUACAAUGCCGGCAACGGCGAUAAGGGGACCUCGAGUGCCAGGUUACAAAUCUGGCUGUCGAGAUGCCUAAAAAGCAUUUCAUAGCAAGGGCCGGGCAAGACCGGUGCCAGCCGCCGCGGUAACACCGGCGGCUCGAGUGGUAACCGUUAUUAUUGGGUCUAAAGGGUCUGUAGCCGGCCGGAUAAGCCUCUUGGGAAAUCUGGCAGCUUAACUGUCAGGCUUUCAGGAGAUACUGUUCGGCUCGAGGCCGGGAGAGGUGAGAGGUACUUCAGGGGUAGGGAUGAAAUCUUGUAAUCCUUGAAGGACCACCAGUGGCGAAGGCGUCUCACCAGAACGGACCUGACGGCAAGGGACGAGAGAUAGGGGCACGAACC
rnacentral:rRNA from 1 species